AGUCGAGGGGCAGCAUUUCAGUUUGCUUGCAAACUGGAGAUGGCGACCGGCGCACGGGUGAGUAACACGUAUCCAACCUGCCGAUAACUCGGGGAUAGCCUUUCGAAAGAAAGAUUAAUACCCGAUGGNAUAAUCAGACCGCAUGGUCUUAUUAUUAAAGAAUUUCGGUUAUCGAUGGGGAUGCGUUCCAUUAGGCAGUUGGUGAGGUAACGGCUCACCAAACCUUCGAUGGAUAGGGGUUCUGAGAGGAAGGUCCCCCACAUUGGAACUGAGACACGGUCCAAACUCCUACGGGAGGCAGCAGUGAGGAAUAUUGGUCAAUGGGCGCAGGCCUGAACCAGCCAAGUAGCGUGAAGGAUGACUGCCCUAUGGGUUGUAAACUUCUUUUAUAUGGGAAUAAAGUUUUCCACGUGUGGAAUUUUGUAUGUACCAUAUGAAUAAGGAUCGGCUAACUCCGUGCCAGCAGCCGCGGUAAUACGGAGGAUCCGAGCGUUAUCCGGAUUUAUUGGGUUUAAAGGGAGCGUAGGUGGACAGUUAAGUCAGUUGUGAAAGUUUGCGGCUCAACCGUAAAAUUUGCAGUUGAUACUGGCUGUCUUGAGUACAGUAGAGGUGGGCGGAAUUCGUGGUGUAGCGGUGAAAUGCUUAGAUAUCACGAAGAACUCCGAUUGCGAAGGCAGCUCACUGGACUGCAACUGACACUGAUGCUCGAAAGUGUGGGUAUCAAACAGGAUUAGAUACCCUGGUAGUCCACACAGUAAACGAUGAAUACUCGCUGUUUGCGAUAUACAGUAAGCGGCCAAGCGAAAGCAUUAAGUAUUCCACCUGGGGAGUACGCCGGCAACGGUGAAACUCAAAGGAAUUGACGGGGGCCCGCACAAGCGGAGGAACAUGUGGUUUAAUUCGAUGAUACGCGAGGAACCUUACCCGGGCUUAAAUUGCAUUUGAAUANUUUGGAAACAGNUUAGCCGCAAGGCAAAUGUGAAGGUGCUGCAUGGUUGUCGUCAGCUCGUGCCGUGAGGUGUCGGCUUAAGUGCCAUAACGAGCGCAACCCUUAUCUUUAGUUACUAACAGGUCAUGCUGAGGACUCUAGAGAGACUGCCGUCGUAAGAUGUGAGGAAGGUGGGGAUGACGUCAAAUCAGCACGGCCCUUACGUCCGGGGCUACACACGUGUUACAAUGGGGGGUACAGAAGGCAGCUACCUGGUGACAGGAUGCUAAUCCCAAAAGCCUCUCUCAGUUCGGAUCGAAGUCUGCAACCCGACUUCGUGAAGCUGGAUUCGCUAGUAAUCGCGCAUCAGCCAUGGCGCGGUGAAUACGUUCCCGGGCCUUGUACACACCGCCCGUCAAGCCAUGAAAGCCGGGGGUACCUGAAGUACGUAACCGCAAGGAGCUCCUAGG
rnacentral:rRNA from 1 species